AAGCCAUUUAACUUUCAAUUAGAACAUUUUUUUCUAUUAUAGUUUCGAUGAUAUACGCUUCGAAAGAAAAAAACCGAUUUUUUUUAAAGGGGUGUUUCGUCCUUAAAAGUGCAUUGGACGUAUAAAAAAAUACGUGUGCCUUAUUUUGAUCUGUACUACAACUAUUAAAGGCUCGUCUAAAUCUGAGGCGAACACUUCCCAAAGGUUACUUGUCAGAUUUCCUGCAAUUCCUACAGGGACUCGAUUAAUGAACAGCACUGUACAAAAAUUCCAGAUAUCUUGUGAAAGACAUUGAUGUGCAAUUUAUAAAAUUGUAUAAAAAUUAUACGAUUUGUGAAAAUUGCUUUUUAUGACGUAUAAGAUCUUGGAUAACUUAUUCAACGAAACACGUAUUCUGAUAUUGAGAAUUGUCUUUUUAUAUUAAAUAUUAUAUUUUAUAGAUGGUAAGUAGUAUUGCUACAUAGUCGCUGUGCGUAAUGAAGUAUUUGAAUAAUAGCGACCAUUGUGCAUUCAACUUUUGCUGUCGUUUUAAUCGAUUUUAACUGUAUUACUGUGAUAAAUAAAAUCAAAUUAAAUAAAUUUCAAA
rnacentral:lncRNA from 13 species